rnacentral:rRNA from 1 species
CCUUAAAUUCCUUAAAGGCACCAGAUUCUGUCUGAUCUUGGAAGCUAAAUGGGGUCAGGCCUUGUUUUUACUUGGAUGGAAGACCGCCAAGGAAUACCAAGUGCUGUAGGGU